rnacentral:rRNA from 1 species
GGACUACCGGGGUAUCUAAUCCCGUUCGCUCCCCUGGCUUUCGCCCCUGAGCGUCAGGUACCAUCCAGGACAGUGCCUUCGCCUUUGGUGUUCCUCCGAAUAUCUACGCAUUUCACCACUCCACUCGGAAUUCCCUGUCCCUCUCUGGUCCUCAAGUCGUGCCGUUUUUGAAACGCUUGAUCGGGUAAGCCGACCCCUGUCAUCCCAAACGUUCACGACCGCCUGCGGGCGCUUUACGCCCAGUAACUUCGGACAACGCUUGCCCCCUACGUAUUACCGCGGCUGCUGGCAC